UCCCUACGGGGGGCAGCAGUGGGGAAUAUUGCACAAUGGGGGAAACCCUGAUGCAGCGACGCCGCGUGAAGGAUGAAGUAUUUCGGUAUGUAAACUUCUAUCAGCAGGGAAGAAAAUGACGGUACCUGGCUAAGAAGCCCCGGCUAACCACGUGCCAGCAGCCGCGGUAAUACGUAGGGGGCAAGCGUUAUCCGGAUUUACUGGGUGUAAAGGGCGUGUAGGCGGGGACGCAAGUCAGAUGUGAAAUCCUAUGGCUUAACCAUAGAACUGCAUUUGAAACUGUUAUUCUAGAGUAUGGGAGAGGG
rnacentral:rRNA from 1 species